rnacentral:misc_RNA from 1 species
AUAAGGAGCCCCAUCCAUGCUAACCUUCACAUAAAUCCUCGUCGUCUCGGUCUCGACCUCGACCUCCGCCUCCUUCUUAGCCUUAAAGCUAAUAUUCCUCCAAUAUGACCUCACCGGCGGCCAUCCCACUACUUGUGUUUUUGACAGGGGUGCCGCAUGGCGGACACUCCCAACAGAGCCAACCUCCGACGAAGCCUCGUUCGAAGGGCAUUCCUCGGCGUCCUCGACCAACAACCUUUUGCUACCCCUAGGUGUAAUGUGGGCUGGUUUCUCCGACAAAUCGACACCCGGGAGACCGAGUCGCAACUCGGUGGCCUUAAGGUUGUCGAAAUCAGACUCGUAACUCGGUAUGCCUUCCAUGUUCUUCUCAGGCACCAGCGAGGUCUCCG